UACGAAGGGGGGCUAGCGUUGUUCGGAAUCACUGGGCGUAAAGCGCACGUAGGCGGCUUUCUAAGUCAGGGGUGAAAUCCUGGAGCUCAACUCCAGAACUGCCCCUUGAUACUGGAGAGCUUGAGUUCGGGAGAGGUGAGUGGAACUGCGAGUGUAGAGGUGAAAUUCGUAGAUAUUCGCAAGAACACCAGUGGCGAAGGCGGCUCACUGGCCCGAUACUGACGCUGAGGUGCGAAAGCGUGGGGAGCAAACAGG
rnacentral:rRNA from 1 species